UUUUUGAUUAAUAAUUUAAAGUCUAAUCUGCCCACUGAUAAUAUAUUAAAGGGCUGCAGUAUUUUGACUGUACAAAGGUAGCAUAAUCAAUAGUCUCUUAAUUGGUGACUUGUAUGAAAGAUUUAAUGAGAUAUAUACUGUCUCUUUUUAAUUUAUAAAAUUUAAUUUUUUAGUUAAAAAGCUAAAAUGUAUUUAAAAGACGAGAAGACCCUAUAGAGUUUAAUAUUUAAUUAAAUUAAAAUUAUUUAUAAAAUUUAAAAUUUUAAUUUAUAGUAAAUAUUUUGUUGGGGUGAUAAAAAAAUUAAAAGAACUUUUUUUAUAAAUUUACAUUAAUAAAUGAAUAAAUGAUCCGUAAUUUACGAUUAAAAGAAAAAAUUACCUUAGGGAUAACAGCGUAAUUUUUUUUUUUAGUUCAAAUAAGAAAAAAAGUUUGCGACCUCGAUGUUGGAUUAAGAUAAAAUUUAAAUGCAAAAGUUUAAAAUUUUU
rnacentral:rRNA from 1 species